rnacentral:snRNA from 1 species
GUAUGUAAGGAUGAUCUGGCUGUGAUAUCUGUCACCACAGUGAUAACUAGGGUUGAUUUGGCUGAUCUAGCUAGCUAGACAGGGUGUCUCCCUCCUCCCUCACCAUUCCACGUGUGUCCUCCCCAAAGCUUUGUGUUCAGUUGGAAAGGAGGACCUUCUCCAACCAAAGAGGGUAUAUGAGUAGCUGUGCUGCCCUGCAACAAGGUCUCAGUAAAUCACUUUCAGAGAUUAUAUGUACAAUUACCAAAAGAUUUUUUGGAAUAUCU